rnacentral:rRNA from 1 species
UACGUAGGGUGCGAGCGUUUGUCCGGAAUUAUUGGGCGUAAAGGGCUCGUAGGCGGUUUGUCGCGUCGGGAGUGAAAUCCACUGGCUUAACUGGUGGCUUGCUUUGAUACGGGCAGACUGGAGGUAUGCAGGGGAGAACGGAAUUCCUGGUGUAGCGGUGAAAUGCGCAGAUAUCAGGAGGAACACCGGUGGCGAAGGCGGUUCUCUGGGCAUGUCCUGACGCUGAGGAGCGAAAGUGUGGGGAGCGAACAGG